rnacentral:rRNA from 1 species
GACGUAGGGCGCGAGCGUUGUCCGGAUUUAUUGGGCGUAAAGAGCUCGUAGGCGGCUUGUCGCGUCGUCCGUGAAAACUCGGGGCUCAACCCCGAGCUUGCGGUCGAUACGGGCAGGCUCGAGUUCGGUAGGGGAGACUGGAAUUCCUGGUGUAGCGGUGAAAUGCGCAGAUAUCAGGAAGAACACCCGUGGCGAAGGCGGCUCUCUGGGACGGUACUGACGCUGAGACGCGAAAGCGUGGGGAGCGAACAGG